GACGAACGCUGGCGGCGUGCUUAACACAUGCAAGUCGAACGGAAAGGCCCCUUUGGGGGUACUCGAGUGGCGAACGGGUGAGUAACACGUGAGUAACCUGCCCUUGACUUCGGGAUAACUUCAGGAAACUGGGGCUAAUACCGGAUAGGAAUCCUUGCUGCAUGGUGGGGGUUGGAAAGCUUCGGCGGUUUUGGAUGGACUCGCGGCUUAUCAGCUUGUUGGUGGGGUAGUGGCUUACCAAGGCUUUGACGGGUAGCCGGCCUGAGAGGGCGACCGGCCACAUUGGGACUGAGAUACGGCCCAGACUCCUACGGGAGGCAGCAGGGGGGAAUAUUGCACAAUGGGCGGAAGCCUGAUGCAGCAACGCCGCGUGCGGGAUGAAGGCCUUCGGGUUGUAAACCGCUUUCAGCAGGGGCGAAGCUUGUGGUGACGGUACCUGCAGAAGAAGCACCGGCUAACUACGUGC
rnacentral:rRNA from 1 species